rnacentral:rRNA from 1 species
UGGGGAAUAUUGCACAAUGGGCGCAAGCCUGAUGCAGCCAUGCCGCGUGUAUGAAGAAGGCCUUCGGGUUGUAAAGUACUUUCAGUCGGGAGGAAGGUGGUAAGGUUAAUAACCUUUGCUCAUUGACGUUACCCGCAGAAGAAGCACCGGCUAACUCCGUGCCAGCAGCCGCGGUAAUACGGAGGGUGCAAGCGUUAAUCGGAAUUACUGGGCGUAAAGCGCACGCAGGCGGUUUGUUAAGUCAGAUGUGAAAUCCCCGGGCUCAACCUGGGAACUGCAUCUGAUACUGGCAAGCUUGAGUCUCGUAGAGGGGGGUAGAAUUCCAGGUGUAGCGGUGAAAUGCGUAGAGAUCUGGAGGAAUACCGGUGGCGAAGGCGGCCCCCUGGACGAAGACUGACGCUCAGGUGCGAAAGCGUGGGGAGCAAACAGG